rnacentral:rRNA from 1 species
UUCCAGACUCCUACGGGAGGCAGCAGUGAGGAAUAUUGGUCAAUGGCCGAAGGGCUGAACCAGCCGAGCCGCGUGAAGGAAUAAGGCCCUACGGGUCGUAAACUUCUUUAGUCAGGGAACAAAGGGAGCCACGCGUGGCGCUGUGAGUGUACCUGAAGAAUAAGCAUCGGCUAACUCCGUGCCAGCAGCCGCGGUAAUACGGAGGAUGCGAGCGUUAUCCGGAUUUAUUGGGUUUAAAGGGUGCGUAGGCGGAAUGCCAAGUCAGCGGUAAAAUCGCGGGGCUCAACCUCGCUCCGCCGUUGAAACUGGCGUUCUUGAGUGGGCGAGAAGUAUGCGGAAUGCGCGGUGUAGCGGUGAAAUGCAUAGAUAUCGCGCAGAACUCCGAUUGCGAAGGCAGCAUGCCGGCGCCACACUGACGCUGAGGCACGAAAGCGUGGGUAUCGAACAGGAUUAGAUACCCGAGUAGU